AAGUCAGUCACUGGAGGAGGCAUCAGCGAUGUGAGGCCUUUGAUGCUUUCUGCUAUAAUGGAGGCCAGGGGCCAGAGUCAGUAUUUACACCUUGCAGCACAUUGACCAGCUGUUCCAGCAAAUCAGGUUUGGAAACUGAUACCCAGAAAGGCAAAAAGUGAUUUUCCCAAACCCAUUAUCAUCAUCUCCAUUAUCAUUGUAGCAGCAAAUAUAGUGCUUGCCUAGUGCCAACUACUGAUCUAGGCACUUGCCAUGUGUUAGGAGAAACCCAUGUAAUCUUUAGAACAACCAUGAGGUGAGUACUGUCAUCCCCAUCUUACAGAUGAAGCAGAAGCACAGAGAGGUCACACGGUGGCAAGUGGCUGGGAUUUGGACCUCAGCAGUUUGACUCCAGCAUAAUCUUUUUGACAAUGAUGCUAUAUAUAUACACUUUGAGAAAUAAAGCUGGGCUCAGAAGAUGAA